AGUUUACUGCGGAGUGAGCCGACUUUGUUUCGGCCGUGGAUAUUCCCCGUGUGGAUAGAUGAAUACUGGGCUGCUGGCAUUGGGUAUCUCGUUGGGUGCUGUGUGGAUUGCUUGCCCCCCUGCUGGGGUCUGAUGGUGGCAUGUCCCGUAAAGCGCGGGACCGAGCAACAGCCGUGUGCAUGCUGCUGUCGAGGCUGAUGGGUGCCACAGUUAUCUAAGAGGUUAACACUCCCCGGCGCGUUUCUCCUACUCUUGCUGUUCUGGAUAUCGGUAUAAAACUCUGCUGUGUAUUGAUACAAACAGUGUCUGGAUAUGACUGUCCUGGAUGCACAGAACUGGUUUGGAGUGAUACGUUUAAGUGUUUCAAUAUCCAGACAUUGGCUCUGUAAAUAUUGGCAUUAACUGGAUGUAUAUUGCAUGUGGGUUUGUUUGGGGGGGGGGGUUGAUUUUGAUCCUUUAAUUACGCAUGCAGGUUUGUUUUUGAAUGGUUGGUUUUGUUUUUUUUCUCUAAUACGCAUUAUAUAUCUCUUCUUAAUAGAGCAGGUGUUGCUAUUUUAAUAUAUGACAAAAUAAAAUUGUAUUUUUUAAUUA